rnacentral:rRNA from 1 species
ACGCUCGACACCUACGGAGGCAGCAGUGGGGAAUAUUGCACAAUGGGGGAAACCCUGAUGCAGCGACGCCGCGUGGAGGAAGAAGGUCUUCGGAUUGUAAACUCCUGUUGUUGGGGAAAAAGAGGAUGGUACCCAACAAGGAAGUGACGGCUAACUACGUGCCAGAGCCGCGGUAAGUCUGAGCGGGCUGGCAAGGC